rnacentral:rRNA from 1 species
UACGGAGGGGGCUAGCGUUGUUCGGAAUUACUGGGCGUAAAGCGCACGUAGGCGGCUUUGCAAGUUAGAGGUGAAAGCCCGGGGCUCAACUCCGGAAUUGCCUUUAAAACUGCAUCGCUAGAAUUGUGGAGAGGUAAGUGGAAUUCCGAGUGUAGAGGUGAAAUUCGUAGAUAUCGAGAGGAACACCGGUGGCGAAGGCGGCGAUCUGGACGAUGACUGACGCUGAGACGCGAAAGCGUGGGGAGCAAACAGG